rnacentral:rRNA from 1 species
AUUGAACGCUGGCGGCAGGCCUAACACAUGCAAGUCGAACGAGUGGCGGACGGGUGAGUAAUGUCUGGGAAACUGCCAGAUGGAGGGGGAUAACUACUGGAAACAGUAGAUAAUACCGCAUACCAUCGGAUGUGCCCAGAUGGGAUGAGCUAGUAGGUGGGGUAACGGCUCACCUAGGCGACGAUCCCUAGCUGGUCUGAGAGGAUGACCAGCCACACUGGAACUGAGACACGGUCCAGACUCCUACGGUAGGCAGCAGUGGGGAAUAUUGCACAAUGGGCGCAAGCCUGAUGCAGCCAUGCCGCGUGUAUGAAGAAGGCCUUCGGGUUGUAAAGUACUUUCAGCUAGGAGGCGUUACUCGCAGAAGAAGCACCGGCUAACUCCGUGCCAGCAGCCGCGGUAAUUC